GGUAACAGGUCUUCGGAUGCUGACGAGUGGCGAACGGGUGAGUAAUACAUCGGAACGUGCCUAGUAGUGGGGGAUAACUACUCGAAAGAGUAGCUAAUACCGCAUGAGAUCUACGGAUGAAAGCAGGGGACCUUCGGGCCUUGUGCUACUAGAGCGGCUGAUGGCAGAUUAGGUAGUUGGUGGGGUAAAGGCUUACCAAGCCUGCGAUCUGUAGCUGGUCUGAGAGGACGACCAGCCACACUGGGACUGAGACACGGCCCAGACUCCUACGGGAGGCAGCAGUGGGGAAUUUUGGACUAUGGGCGAAAGCCUGAUCCAGCAAUGCCGCGUGCAGGAUGAAGGCCCUCGGGUUGUAAACUGCUUUUGUACGGAACGAAAAGCCUGGGGCUAAUAUCCCCGGGUCAUGACGGUACCGUAAGAAUAAGCACCGGCUAACUACGUGCCAGCAGCCGCGGUAAUACGCAGGGUGCAAGCGUUAAUCGGAAUUACUGGGCGUAAAGCGUGCGCAGGCGGUUUUGUAAGACAGUGGUGAAAUCCCCGGGCUCAACCUGGGAACUGCCAUUGUGACUGCAAGGCUAGAGUGCGGCAGAGGGGGAUGGAAUUCCGCGUGUAGCAGUGAAAU
rnacentral:rRNA from 1 species